GAUGAACGCUGGCGGCGUGCCUAAUACAUGCAAGUCGAGCGAACAGACGAGGAGCUUGCUCCUCUGACGUUAGCGGCGGACGGGUGAGUAACACGUGGAUAACCUACCUAUAAGACUGGGAUAACUUCGGGAAACCGGAGCUAAUACCGGAUAAUAUAUUGAACCGCAUGGUUCAAUAGCGAAAGACGGUUUUGCUGUCACUUAUAGAUGGAUCCGCGCCGCAUUAGCUAGUUGGUAAGGUAACGGCUCACCAAGGCAACGAUGCGUAGCCGACCUGAGAGGAUGAUCGGCCACCCGGGAACGGGGAAACGGUCCAGACUCCUACGGGAGGCAGCAGUAGGGAAUCUGCCGCAAUGGGCGAAAGCCUGACGGAGCAACUCCGCGUGAGUGAUGAAGGUCUUCGGAUCGUAAAACUCUGUUAUUAGGGAAGAACAAAUGUGUAAGUAACUAUGCACGUCUUGACGGUACCUAAUCAGAAAGCCACGGCUAACUACGUGCCAGCAGCCGCCGUAA
rnacentral:rRNA from 1 species